UUUGCAGCAUCCCUCACCCGCUUAAAGGAAUUGGAAAUUGGUUGGUUCUGGGAGGAGCUCGAUUCCUUCCCUGUUUUUUCAGGUUAUUCCACAACUUGAAACUUUGAGCUUGUGGGGUUGGCCCAAGCGCAGUUGUCUGCCUAAACAAGUUCGAUGCUUCACUUGUCUAACUUCUUUAACAACACACUCCUUCGACAACAUGGAGGCUCUUCCAGAGUGGUUGGGAAAUCUUGCAUCUCUUCAGAUCUUAAGUAUAUGGAAGUGCAAGAAUCUGAUGUAUCUACCCACACUUGAAGCUAUGAAAUGUCUCACCAAAUUACAGUACAUAUAUAUAUUCGAAAUUGUCCUCUUCUGGAAGAGAGAUGCAAUAAAGACAAUGGUCCAUAAUGGCCCAAGAUUUCGCAUAUUCCAAACAUCUACAGUGUUGAUCAUGGGGUGCAGAUUGCAGAUUGUAAUUAUAAGAGUAGGAAGGUGAUGGAGACAUUCAACCAAUUGUGGCAGUUUCCCAAUCAGAAUCCUUGGAAUGUGAUGCCAUGCGAGGAAAGCUUUUAACGGCUCUGCAGCUGCAAGGUUCUUUGGGAGAUUCAGUUUUAUGGGACAAUUUUUUAUCAAGAAUCCGAUCAAGCAAACUUCAACACUGCAGGAUUUUGAGUUUUUUUUUUUUUUUUUGGCACACUCCCUCCCUAGGCUUUGUAAAAGUUUCUCUCCUGAAUCUGAUCAUUUCGGUUACUUAGAGUUCCCUGUUGAGAGAAAAGAGAUUAUGGUUUAACAUUUGGAAGAACCUUUCGUCUUCUUUGUUUUGUAGUUGUGCCUUUGCUAAUUUAUUCUCA